AUUCAAUAGAAGUUGCUCUGCUUAAAGUUCCCAUUCGCACCAUGAUGGUUGAAGACAAUGGGAAGGCGCAGAUGGAUGUGUGUUUGGCUUUAGACCGCAAGAACUCUGCAUAUCUGUUGGAGAACUCGAUGUCUCCCAGCUGCCUCCUGCGAUUCAACCCUGUGGACAAGAGCUGUCUGAAACACAAUCACAAUCACAGUCAACUCACUGGCAGGCAGAGUGGGUAGAGUAGCUAAAAAUUGGGGCUGGUGCCUGUCUUCAGUGGCCAUUAGACAAGAGGUGGGGUACACUAUGGACAGGUCACUGAUCCAUCACAGGGAAAACUCACCUGAGUCUGGCCUCAAGCAGAGUUUCCGCUGAGAUUCCUGGAAGAGACCAUGGAGUGCUCAGCCGACUCACUUCAGUCAGAAAGUCUUCCACCUCUUCCUCAUCCCUUACCUGACAGGAAGUGAUGCAGUGAGAGUGAGGUAGAGGAGAGCCAGCAGUAGGAAAGCCUGAGUAACGCGGACGGACGGCAUCAUGAUGAGGAGUAAUACAAAGAUUGCCUGAGGAGACAUGUUGACUUAGCAAAUCCUUU